rnacentral:lncRNA from 1 species
GUUACACUCUAGGGCAUUACAGCUAUAGCGCUGGCUCCUAAAUCAGCGCUACUGCUACUUGUAUUUUACAAUUAAAAAAAUAAAAAUGAUAGCAAUAGCGCUUGUUUGUAAACAAGUGUUAUAGCUAGCGCUGGUUCAAAACCAGCGCUACCGCUAUUUUGAGUUAACCGGCGCGCGCGCUAAGUUUUUUUCACCAAAUCUCAUCAGGGCAGAUCUCGCACACAACCCCCACCAGCGUGCUCUCCUCAUCCUUCCUACGCCCGCGUGCUCUCCUCAUCCUCCCCGCGCCGCCGCCGUCGCCCCGCUCCGAUUCCUCUUCGUCCGGCGGCCAAGUACAUCCUCCUCUCCCCUCCUCCGCUCCGCUCUGCUCUUUCCUUGUCGAUCCCCUUUGAUGUGCGCGCGUGCGUCGAUCGCUGACGGUGAGUGGUCCUGGGGCUGGGCGUGGGAGGGAGCGGGAGGGAUAAGAGGCAGCAGCAGAAGGAGAGCACCCCGAGGAUCCCGGUAUGAGCGUGGUAGCCAGGGCGGUUUUCCGGCGACCAAACCGAGCGUUGGAUUUUCAUCUUUUUAGCAAGCAGUUAAUGAACAAAAGCUCGACGAUGAGUUGGGCGGUCUAGGUAAAGAUCUUAUGCCGUCUCUGAACCGCAGCGAUGGGUUCUCAAUCCUUUUGAUCUCCGAAGAUGGAGAAGAAGAGUUUGUUUUGUGGGUGAAUUAUCACUCGUUUUUUGUUCUUGUGUCGCGUAAGGUGUACUAUAAAUCUAUAAUCUGUCGAUAGGAAAGAAAGGGAGAGGCAUAACAGAAGCUCUCUCAAUUUUCUCAUCAGUUCAGUUGUGUUCUUGGGAUAUUUCCUAUUGUUCCAUACAUAUACUCGCACGGAUGCUUCCACCCAUAACAGUGGGCGCAGUAUUAGUAAGAUUUAUAAUUGAGCUUAAAAACAUGAUUUCCUUGCAGUAUCUUGAUCAAUGGGUAGCACUUGCAUGUUUUUAGCAAGUGAAAAGAAAUCCCAACUAAAGUUAGGGCCUCUUUGAUUCAAGGAAGGAAUACAUUUAUUGGCUUUCGGUGAAUGUAGAAUAUUUUUAAGAAGUAAACUAUUGUGUGGUGCGUGAAAAUUAGCGCAUGGAGUUGUUCCUGGAUGUUGUAGCAAUCAGAAACUGCCGAAUUUUCCAACUCGCCAUUUACGUGAUUGAUGGUCCGUGAGUAAGCAUACCUGAUUGCAACAUAACCAUACAAGGCUAUCAGCUAGCCAACAUCACAUACUUCCUCUUCAAGCACUUGAGUGUGGAUUCGCCAGUUUUGCAGCACACGUGCAGCGGAUGGCCAAAAAUGUGCUCAUCAUUUUGUAGAAGCGCUAUUGGUAAUCGUUGUGGUCAGGACUCCUUCACAAGGACCAUUAUUAACCCCCAUGACAUGACCACCUUCGUAGCCAGGCUUGGGUGAUCCCAAUGAGAUGUCAAGGCCUAUCACAUGAGGAAGUUAUCUAGUGUACCUUGUUUUUUCCAUACUAGGCUAGAUGCCAUGAACUAAAAUGUCAAGCUCGUGGAUGAUAGCUAGAUGCAAAUAUGAGAAGGAAGCACUGAAUGUUGCUGAAUAAGAAAAAUAAAAAGUUUGGAACUUGUCUUUUCAACGAACGAGCUAGUACUAAAGUUCUCUGGACUCAGAUUUGAGUUACAUGUUUUGUCUAGUGAAUUUGGCAAUUACUGUCCUAAUGAGCUGUUGACUGUCAACUGUAAUAAGGUUGCAAUAUUAGGGUCUCUUCUUAUAGUUUGUCUUGCUUGAUACUCGAGCCUCUCUUGGCAUCCUCUUACAGUUUAGACAUUAUUUAGCAUUAUACUGAUUGUUGGUAAAACCAAUUGGGUAGUUUUGCUAGUGCAAAGGACAAUUUUAAUAUCUUGGAAAUAUUACCAUUUUUCAGUAUUUUAUUUUUGAGUUUUUGUACUGAUACAUGACAUUUGGCUCUGUUGUAAUACCCCCUGCAGUUUUUUUGCAAGAGCCUAAAUCUAUUAAUAAAGAGUGGCCUAUGCUUUGCCGGGAUGUUGAUUUAUUUUCGUUCUGGCAAAUUUCAGGCGCUCCAUAUGUCCACUUUUUUAGCGAAGGUCAUGUCAAAAUUUUCGACAUGGCUUGUGCUAGAAACUAGGACAUAUGGAGUAACCGGGAUUUGCCGGAAGGGGAAUGAAUCAACACUCCGGCCAAAUAUAGGCCCUUUUUUCUCGUCAUUAUAUCUUUUAUUUACAAUUGUUGCACAUAGGAAACAUGUCUACUGACGCCGAAGUCGUGGGUGGUUCUGCUCGCCCCGCAGACCCCAUGGAGGCAGCAAAUCACUAUUUCGAUUACCUGGACGAACACCAGAUGGGGUUGCAUGGUGGCGGCAGUGGUCCCAAUCCCGACCCCGGCACCGACACCAACACUGGCACCGGCGCCUACACCGCCCUCGAGACCGGCAACGAUGAUGUCGUAGCUAGUAAAGCACCGAAGAAGAAGAAGAGGACACGAAGACCAAACGAGCUUGGCAUCGGACAAAUUGUGGUCACGUAGAUUCAACCCAAGAAGUUAGAGCCAACGGCGCCAGAGGAAGCGAGCAAGUCCUGGGGCAAUCAACUUGGAUGCAUCCUCAGGGAAACCGCCAACAUCAACGAUGAGAAGUUGAAGCAGAUACCACAUAUGGAGCACAUGCUCCUAAAGAAGUUGCGCAAUAGGUUCAUGUUCCCCGGCCGGAAUGAAAACGAAUAUAAAGAGCGGUGGGACGACCCCGCCAUGACAAAGAUAAACGAGAAGGCGAUGGUGACGUUCACCAACGACUUGUCCUCCUCGAAAGUUCGGGCAAAAAAGCGAUUGUGAAGAAUGAACCGUGGUCCAAGAUUCAUGUUGAUAAUCCAACAAUAACGGCAGAGGACUUUGCAAAAUUCUAAGAGAAUUGUGAUAAAGAAGAAGUCAAGGCAAAUCACCAGGCCAUGAACACGCCUCCCCACCGCCUCGGAAGCCGUGGUUACGAGGGGAAGAAGCACAUAUGGGCCAAGGAGGACGUCGAACGUGAAAGUCUCGGGGUCCCGGACCCCUUGGCGGAGUUCACCGACCCGCUGGAGCAUGACUGGAUCAGGGCCCUGUACAAGUGGGACAAAGUCAGAAAGAUCUUUUACACGGACCAGAACACGAGGGAGUUCAUGGGACUUCUGGUAAUUGUUAUAUUACCACAUUAUCGUAUUAGCUUCCAAUCAAUUUGACUACAAGUUUUGUCACAUUAGUAAACCAUCCACGUUCCUUUUGCAGAAAGAGCAGCACCAAAAGGCAGCCUAAAGCGACGAGUACAGUUGUCGGCGAGGCCAAGUGGGACACCCCAUUCAACCGGGCCCUGAACAUACUGAAAAAGGUCUCGGUGGACAAGGCGCCGUCCUAUGGACGUGUGCACGGCGUCGGGGAUGGCGCCUCGUGGAAGACGUGCUACCCCGAGGAGCCAAAGGAAAGAAGGAAGAGACGGUUGGUCGUCACUCAGGAGAGCAUCGACGAGAAGGUCACGAUUGCGGUCGGUAAGACCAAAGCUCAAACCAAAGAAGAGUUGGUCGGGGUAGUCAGUGGGUUGGUCACUGACGCGGUGGCCAACUUGAUUCCGACAAUUUUCAAUUGGUCGAAGAGCAAUCCAAAUGCAUGGCCGGAGGACUUUCCCCUUCCCAGCUUUGUCGGGAGCAACUCGGCGAACGCCACAUCACCAACACCUGCCCAAGCAACCGCAAAAGGUCUCGUUCCUGUUCAUUGCAGCCCGACCUCCGUCUCUGGCAUGCUCGGCGGGCCUUCGUCGCUGGCUGAGCUCGACGCCCUCACGGUAAUUGCGCGUCAUACCCUUUUCACCAGCAUGUCUAUAGUCUUCCAUUUCAGUUGCCUUUCAGAUGUUUGAUGUCGCAGACAUGUCUCCUUCGUAGGCCGACGACACCCCGUGCACCCUACUCUACGACAUCAAGGGCCAGAAGGUGGCUGUGGGAAAGACAACCAUCGUGAAGCCGAAGGACCGCAUGUUCCACAACCGAGAGAUGUCCGAUGGAGUCUUCAAGGUUAACGUGCCCAGUGUCUUAGCGGGCUUCAAGGAUUUGCCUCCUCCGAUACUAGUCGGUGACGACUAGACCCCUAAGACGAUUGGCGCAUGCAAGAACUGGUUCUUGCCUUGGCCGAAGACUCUUCUUCGUCUCGAGGAUCCCAGUAUCACGCCAACACCACCUUCUCAAGAAGGUAUGAACACCACCCCACCUACCAAAUUAUCUGCACCUAUCGUGGCGGAUGAUGGUAGCGUACGACACGAGGAAGAGCCUCCAUUAGUGCCAGAUCUUGUCGGCCCCGCUGUCGAAGAAGAAAAUGUUGAUGAUGACAUGGAGGACGAUGAUGAGGACCCGAACCAGUAUUUCAAUACCGCCUAUGAUGGAUUGAUGGCUCAGGACGCCGAAGACUCAGGCUAUGACCAUGGAGAUGAUGACUUGAUGCUGCCUAAUUUGCCGGAGCCGGAACGUCCUAAGGCGGAAUGCAAAAAGUCUCUCUUCAAGCCAUCCUCGCAGGAGACGCCUCCAAAUGCCGCCUCUACCCAGCAACCCCCCGAGGCUCGUCCAUUGUUUAGCCCGAGGACACUGGGGUGGUGGUUAUGGAAGGUAUGGUGGGCUCACUACCUCCACCCGCCAAGAAGCAAAGGAAGAGACCGGCCAGGAAAGGCCCUAAAGGCGCCAUAGGUGCUUCAAGCAGCCAGCCGCCUCUGAAACCCCUGGUGGUAGACAGAAUACCUGUCGAAGGUAAGUCGCGUUUCCAUGUGGCCGGCGAGCCGAUCCUACCUGCCAAAGCGAUAGAUCACAUAUUGAACAAUGAUCUAAAGAGACUCCAUGAAGAUGUGUUGGCCAUAGAGAAAAGCCUUCUGGUCGCGAAAGAUCCAGGAUACCCGCUUUACGCGGCUCAGGUGUCGGGUGGGAAGUUGUACGUCGAUACGUGGCCCGCGAAUCAGUUCCUCCUGUGAUUUGACUACAUCUACAACAUGUUCCACAUGACCAAGCUGGAUUUCCAGUUCAUCCGCAUGUAUGCGAUGUAUCUCAACUACUUCAUCAAUAUGGAGAGCAUCAAAUAUAUCUGCGUCGCGGACCCAUACUAUAUGCACGAGAGCUUCUUGGCAGUUUGCAAAGAGCACCGUGAUUAUGCAGGCAAGUACCUCAGCAAAUUCAUGAUCGCUAAUAAGGACAAGGAAGCGAUUCUCCUGCCUUAUCAUCCCUCCUAAGUCAUCCGCACAUAUCCUUUCGUACAUGUUAAUCAUUCCUUUGCAAGCAUGGAGGCUAAUUUGAGGUGUACUUAAUUUGUGCGGCGGGGGCGGCGCUGCUACCUCUUGAGCUUGCGUUGGUUUUUCCCUUGAAGAGGAAAGGGUGAUGCAGCACAGUAGCAGUAAGUAUUUCCCUCAGUUUGAAAACUAAGGUAUCAAUCCAGUAGGAGAAUUAAGCCAAGUGUCCAGAGUACCUGUGCAAACACAAACGAGCUUGCACCCAACGCUAUAAAGGGGUUGUCAAUCCCUUCAAGAUUGAUUGCAAAGUGAGAUCUGAAGGCGGAAAGUGCAACGAAGUAAAAGUGUAAGGCUGAAAAUAUGAUGUGAAGUAGACCCGGGGGCCAUAGUGUUCACUAGAGGCUUCUCUCAAGAUAGCAAAUAUUAUGGUAGGUGAACAAAUUACUAUCGAGCAAUUGACAGAACCGCGCAAAGCCAUGACGAUAUCUAAGGCAAUGAUCAUACAUAUAGGCAUCACGUCCGAGACAAGUAGACCGAUACUUUCUGCAUCUACUACUAUUACUCCACACAUCGACCGCUAUCGAGCAUGCAUCUAGUGUAUUGAGUUCAUGACGAAUAGAGUAAUGCCUUAAGCAAAAUGACAUGAUGUAGAGGGAUAAACUUAAAUCAAUGAUGUAAACCCCAUCUUUUUACCCUUCAUGGCAACAACACGAUACGUGCCUCGCUACCCCUUCUGUCACUGGGUGAGGUCACCAUACGGUAUGAACCCAAAACCAAGCACUUCUCCCAUUGCAAAAAUCAUAGAUCAAGUUGGCCAAACAAAACCCACAACUCAAAGAGAAUUACAAGGAUAUGAAAUCAUGCAUAUAAGAGAUCAGAAGAAACUCAAAUAAGAUUCAUAGAUAAUCUUAUCAUAAAUCCAUAAUUCAUCGGAUCUCGACAAACACACCGCAAAAGAAGAUUACAUCAGAUAGAUCUCCAUGAAGAUCAUGGAGAACUUUGUAUUGAAGAUCCAAGAGAGAGAAGAAGCCAUCUAGCUACUAACUAUGGACCCGAAGGUCUAUGGUGAACUACUCACGCAUCAUCGGAGAGGCAAUGGUGUUGAUGAAGAAGCCCUCCGUAUCCGAAUCCCCCUCCGGUAGGGCACCAGAACGUGCCCCAGAUGGGAUCUUGCAGAGACAGAAGCUUGCGGCGGCAGAAAAGUAUUUUCGUGGAUCUCUCUCGUGGUUUUGGAUUUUUCGGGAAUUUAUAGGCGGAAGAAGUAGGGCAAACGAGCCACAGGGGGCCCACAAGCCUGAUAGGCGCCCCCUGGCCGCGCCUAGGGGGCUUGUGGCCUCCCCUGGUGGCCUCUACCUUGGUUCUCACGGACCCUGCGUAUCUUCUGUUUCGGAAAAAUCUUUUCGGAAGUUUUAUUACAUUUGGACUCCGUUUAAUAUUCUCCUCUGAAAAGGGUCAAAAACACAGAAAAAACUGGAACUGGCACUUGGCACUAAGUUAAUAAAUUAGUCCCCAAAAAGAUAUAAAAGGCAUACAAAUCAUCCAAAGUUUGACAAGAUAAUAGCAUGGAACUAUCAAAAAUUAUAGAUACGUUGGAGACGUAUCAAGCAUCCCAAGCUUAACUCCUGCUCGUCCUCGAGUAGGGAAGUGAUAAAGACUGAAUUUUUGAUGUGGAAUGCUACCUAGCAUAGUUGUCCUUUUUAACUUCUUUCAUGUGACAUGAAUGUUCAGAUCCGUAAGAUUCAAAACAAUAGUUUGCUAUUGACAUAAAAACAAUAAUACUUUAAGCAAACUAGCAAGGUAUUCAUGAACUUUUGAAAUAACAAGGCCAAAGAAAGUUAUCCCUACAAAAUCAUAUAGUCUGGCUAUGCUCCAUCAUCCCCACACAACUAAUUUAAAUCAUGCACAACCCCGGGAUUGGCUAAGUAAUUGUUUUUGCACUCUUACUUUCUCAAACCUUUUACAACUAUCACGCAAUACAUGAGCGUGAGCCAUGGAUAUAACACUAUAGGUGGAAUAGAGUGUGGUGGUGGUUGUGAGACAGAAAGGAGGAGAUGGUCACAUUGACUCGGCAUAUCAAAGGACUAUGGAGAUGCCCAUUAAUAGAUAUCAAUGCAAAAGAGUAGGGAUUACCAUGCAAUGGAUGCACUUAGAGCUAUAAGUAUGUGAAAGCUCAAAAGGAGAACUAGUGGGUGUGCGUUGAUACGUCCAUUUUGCGUCAUGCUUUCAUGUUGAUAUUUAUCGCUUUAUGGACUGUUAUUAUACUUUGUGGAACCAUACUUAUGCCUUUUCUCUCUUAUUUUGCAAGGUUUAUUUGAAGAGGGAGAAUACCGGCAGCUGGAAUUCUGGACUGGAAAAGGAGCAAGUCUGAGUUCUCUAUUCUGCGCAACUCCAAAUGCCCUGAAAAUCAACG